AGGGGCAUAGUUCAGAGGCAGAGCAUUUGACUACAGAUCAAGAGUUCCUUGGUUCAAAACCAGAUGCCCCCU
rfam:Fukomys damarensis contig119712, whole genome shotgun sequence.